CCUACGGGAGGCAGCAGUCGAGAAUCAUUCACAAUGGGGGAAACCCUGAUGGUGCGACGCCGCGUGGGGGAAUGAAGGUCUUCGGAUUGUAAACCCCUGUCAUGUGGGAGCAAAUUAAAAAGAUAGUACCACAAGAGGAAGAGACGGCUAACUCUGUGCCAGCAGCCGCGGUAAUACAGAGGUCUCAAGCGUUGUUCGGAAUCACUGGGCGUAAAGCGUGCGUAGGCUGUUUCGUAAGUCGUGUGUGAAAGGCGCGGGCUCAACCCGCGGACGGCACAUGAUACUGCGAGACUAGAGUAAUGGAGGGGGAACCGGAAUUUUGGGGGUAGCAGGGAAAUGCGUAG
rnacentral:rRNA from 1 species